rnacentral:rRNA from 1 species
UACAGAGGGGGCAAGCGUUGUUCGGAAUUACUGGGCGUAAAGGGCGCGUAGGCGGCCUGUUAAGUCGAACGUGAAAUCCCCGGGCUCAACCCGGGAACUGCGUCCGAUACUGGCAGGCUUGAAUCCGGGAGAGGGAUGCGGAAUUCCUGGUGUAGCGGUGAAAUGCGCAGAUAUCAGGAAGAACACCCGUGGCUAAGGCGGCUCUCUAGUACGGUACUGACGCUGAGACGCGAAAGCGUGGGGAGCGAACAGG